rnacentral:rRNA from 1 species
UACGUAGGGGGCAAGCGUUGUCCGGAAUCAUUGGGCGUAAAGAGCGUGUAGGCGGCCCGGUAAGUCCGCUGUGAAAGUCGGGGGCUCAACCCUCGAAUGCCGGUGGAUACUGUCGGGCUAGAGUGCGGAAGAGGCGAGUGGAAUUCCUGGUGUAGCGGUGAAAUGCGCAGAUAUCAGGAGGAACACCAAUUGCGAAGGCAGCUCGCUGGGACGUAACUGACGCUGGAGAACGCGGAAAAGCGUGGGGGAGCAAACAGG